UUUUUUUUUUGCUUUUUAAAAUGAAUUCUACCAAAUACAUCAUAACCUAAAAAAUGUAGGAUUGGGUUUGCCUGGUGAACAAAAUAGGUAUCACAUUAUAUUUCUUCCCUGGCCUGUACGUUUUACUCAACAUUGUUUCUGAGACAUCCAUGUGGUUAGCAAAACUGUCGUUCCUUAUUUUCAUCUCUGUGUUACAGUCCCCUGUGCGUCUCUACCGAGUUCUAUUCAUGUUUUCUCCUGCCCACAGAUAUUUGGGUUGUCUUUAUUUCUUUUUCUAAAACAAGCCUUCCUGCUAUGAACAUUCUCCUAUUUCAUAUUACGCAGGUGCUAAUGUUUCCUUUGGGUAUAUAUCUAGCUGUGGUUUUUAAAGCAUGAACAGUUUUACAAGAUAAUGAAGCAUUAUUUUCCAAAGUGGUUAGUUAUAUUAAUUUACUCGUCAACCAGCAAUGUGAUCACAUUGAUUCCCAUUCCCUUCAAACUUGAUGUGUUAGACUUCUUAACUAGUAUUGGUAAUUGUAAAAUAGUAGCUCUGUGUGCUUUUCAUGUACUUUUCCCUGACAAUGAGGUUGAGCAGUGCUUCAUGUUAAUUUGCUCUAUUUCCUUUUUUGUGAAAUGCCUAUUUAAAUCUUUUGUGCAGUUUUUUAAUUAGGCUAUUUUUCUUAUUUGUUUGUAGAAAUCUUUAUAUAUUCUGUAUGGUAAUUCUUUGUGUUGUAAGAAUGUCUCCCAUUUGUAGCUUUUAUUUUCUUCAUAGUAUCUUUUGAUGACAUGUUUUUAUGGCUCAUUUUAAUGUCUGAAUUUGUUAAUAUCAUCUUUUAUGAUGAGCAUAUUUCUAUCUGGUUUAGAAAAUUAUUCCUUAUCGUAAUAUCAGAAAGAUAUUCACUUACAUUUUCUUCUAAAAGUUAAAGUUUGGCUUAGAUAUUUAUUUAUUUAUUUAUUUUUGGUCUUUUUUUUUUUUUUCUUCUUCUUUUUAGAUCGACACCCAUGGCACGUGGAGUUUCCCAGGCUAGGGGUCUAAUCAGAGCUGUAGCUGCCCGCCUACACCACAGCCACAGCAACUCGGAUCCGAGCCUUGUCUGCGACCUACACCACAGCUCAAGGCAAUGCCAGAUCCUUAACCUACUGAGCAAGGCCAGGAUGAAACCAGUGUUCUCAUGGACACUAGUCGGGUUUGUAAGCUGCUGCCACAAUGGAAACUCCCUAAUCAUUUAUUUUUAGAUUCUCUGGGGGAAUUUCGAUGUAGACAAUCAUAUCAUCUGCAAAUAAUGACAGUUCUUCCUUUCCUCAACAAAUUUCAAUAAAUUUAAACACUUUCAUCAAGUGUUUAAAUUUAUUUUUCUUGACUUACUGUGCUGUAUAGGGUCUCUAUAAAGUGCUAAACAGAAGUGAUAAGAGUAGGUACCUUUGCUUUUUUCCUGAUUUUCAAAAGAAAACUUCCAAUGUUUCCUAUUUAGCAUGAUUUUUGUUGUAGUGGUUUUUAUUUAAGAUUGGAUUCUAAUGAAAUAUUUGAAGUCUCCCACAACAUUCAGUUUUCAUUUCAUUGUCCAGAACUUAGCCAUCGCAAUACUCAUUGCUAAAAGGGAGUUGGGAAAUACAAUCUGUUAGCAGGGCAAAUGGAGUUCUGUUAAUUUGAGAUAGAAAGUUAGAAUGGAUAUUUGGUUGGUAAUGAGUUGGCCAUAUCUUCCAGGUGUUACCCAGAAACCAAGAUGGGCCAUGAGACUAGUGUCACUCAGAUAUCUUGCUAGAUUUAAAAAUAUCCUAGGCCUUUAUGUGAAAUUAUAAAAACAAAUAAUAACAUUACAAAAAAGCUGGAAGGUACUUCCUUAACCCUCAACCUCACAUACUC
rnacentral:lncRNA from 9 species